UGAGAAUUUGAGCCCUGCAAUAUGUUCAGACUUAAGUAUAAAUCUUGUUAUUUCACCAUUUUUUAAUUGCAGUAAAUCCAGCUAGUAUUAUUUAAUGCCAUUUUCACCAUAAUUACUAGGGGGGAAAGUAGCAUAAGUAUUCAUCCCCUUUGAACUUCUCAAUUCAGUAUUCAUCCCCUUUUGAACGAUCUCAAAUUAUUUCUUCAUGUUCCUGAAAGAACCCAGAGUUAGUUAGAGAACAUACCUAAACACGUCUGGGACAAAGUUCUGAAAGAAAAGCUAUCAAUCAGGGUUUGGUUGAAGGAGGUGUGGCCUUUGUAUCUGUCAGUCAAAGUGAAGGCGGCGUGGCCUUUCUAUCUGUCAGUCAGCAUGAAGGAGGUGUGGCCUUUUUAUCUGUCAGUCAGGAUGAAGGAGGUGUGGCCUUUGUAUCUGUCAGUCAAACUGAAGGAGGUGUGGCCUUUGUAUCUGUCAGUCAGCGUGAAGGAGGUGUGGCCUUUGUAUCUGUCAGUCAAAGUGAAGCAGUUGUUGCCUUUGUAUAUGUCAGUCAGAGUGAAGGAGGUGUGGCCUUUAUAUCUGUCAGUCAGAGUGAAGGAGGUGUGGCCAUUGUAUCUGUCAGUCAAAGUGAAGGAGGUGUGGCCUUUGUAUCUGUCAGUCCCACAAGGCAUGGCCUCUGUGUGAUCAACCAUGUUUGGUUUUUGAAGUUUCUUUUUCUUUUUUCUUUUUAUUGUAGCUAUAUGGCUAAAUACGAACUAAACUGCACCGUGUAGCUAAAGUUUUCAGAUUGACUCUGUAAUUUUUUAAUAUGUAAUUAAUUAAUAUUAUUAUUAUUAUUUUUUUUUUUACAAAGUACUAAGGCCUUUGCAGUCUCUCACUUCGGUAAAGAUGCUACACUGAUAAUGAUUUUACCGGCUGUGGAAUAAAUUUACAUCACUAAAACAUUAUUUUUAAAUGUUUGACCAGCUGUGAACGCAUCACCACACACACGUCCACAGGGUCUUAAUAUCCGCCUGUUUCCUUCCUCUCCUUUAAACUCCUCCACAGAUUUAGAGAAACAACCCAUAAUCCUCUUCCGCUUUUGGGACAGGGCUGAAAUCGGCGUGGCGAUUAUGUAGCAGAAAUUGGCUUUGUGUCCCUGCAGAGAGACGCACACUCACACACACUCCAGAAACACUCCCACCUUUAAACAUGGACAAACAGAGGGAUUAAGGGACAUUUUUGUACAAUACAACUCCUUACACAGCAGCAUUAUUUACACAUUUGAAAUCUGCUUCUCCAGCUUUUCAUCACAUAUUCUACCUUCCAUAAAUAAUAAAUAUUCCUGUCUUCCUACUUAUUGUGUGUUUCUCUCAUUUGUAUGCAGUAGAUUUUCAAUGGACAAAAAAAAUCUCGAAAAUAAUGGAAAAUGCAAAUCCGAUUAUAUAUUUAGAAUAAAAGUGACUGUGAUAUGUUGACAGUUGAAUAGCCAUGUAUGUGUACGCUAAUGAAUGGGGUUUUUAAUGAGUUAAAAUUAUAUUUAUAUAUAUAUUAUAUUAUCGCAUAAAAAAAUAUUGGAAAUAUUCCGAUAUCUAGUGUAAAGUCAUGGCAUUCCUUUCAUAUAGCGCUCUUAGUUAUUUCUAUCUAUUAAUUAAUAUAUUGCAGUUUUAAGUUAAAAGAAAAAAAAAGGAACAGGAAAUUAAUGUCAUUUGCAUGCUGUAACAUGAUUGGCUCUUAGAAUUUAUGAUGCGAUAAGACUUGCUCCUCCCUUAGUUUCCACUAAGAUCAUUCAGCUUCGUGUUUCUUAAAAGAAUGCGGCAAAACCUCUACGUUAAUUUGUCCCUGAAAAAAGAAUCGAAGCAUAAACCAUUUACCUGACUAGAGUUCACUUUCACUGUGUAUAAAAGCCUCCGCUGAAUAAAUACAUAAAUAAAUAAAAAUGUCCUUGUAGACCUUUGAAACGAUUGACAUUUUUUGGCACAUUGGGAUCAUCCGAAAUAUUUUCUACAAUUCAAACUUUAGCCGACGUGUGAUUGAUAAAUUUAUAGAUGAGAUCACGUCCUGCUUCUGUUUGUGUGUGUGUGUGUGUGUGUGUGUGUAGUUCAGUAUGAGAGUCUUCUCAACACUCACUCCUUCCUCUACACACCGUCUGAAACACAGUCUGCAUUCAGAGUGUGUGUGUGUGUGUGUGUGUGUCGGAAUAUACCAUCUCAAGCUUCUCGACAGGGGAAGAUAGGCUUGUAGUGUGUGUGUGUGUGUGUGUGUUAAUGUUUGUGAGGAAACGUUGUCAUUGAGGUAGCAGAAAGACAAUAAAGAAAUGAAAAUACACAAAGCGCUGCAGUUAUUAUAAUAUGAUAAUGAAAAAGAAAACCCCCUUUCUUCAGGAAGUCUCUGGGACGAGCAGCUUGUAUGGAGUUGCUGAAGUGGAGUUAGCAUUGGCAUGAGUGACACUGUUAGAAUUUUAAACACAGGUACACACACACACACACACACACACACACGCACACACACUGCAUGCAAACGCCCUGCGAGGAUGAGCUGUUUCUUUCGAAAUGCGAAAUACUGAUGUGGAUUUGGUUUGUAUUCUAAAGUGGGUGUGGUCAGAUGUUUUGGGGCGGAGUCGUAACAGGACUGAAGAUGAUUUCAGCUUAGCUCUUUAGUGCUUUUGUUUCUUUUCUUGUUCAUUUCAUGCAAACGACAGUUAGAAUUUAUUCAUUUGUUAGUAAUUGUAGUUCAGGAUUAAAUUCGAAUCGGCAUGAACAGAGCGAGGACAUUUACAUAACUACAGUUACUGCAAAAUUUAAGGAUUCACUGCAAAAACAAACAAACAAACAAACAAACAAACAAACAAAAAAUAAAUAAACGUACAUUUGCAGAUUAUUUUAUUUCAUUUAGUUCUGAAGGCAGUAAUUCUAGUUUCUUUUGUUUUAGCUGUAUUUUUUAGUGUAAGUGCAUAUUUAUUUAUUUAUUUAUUUUAAAUGAACUGCUUUUAAUGUCCUAUUUCUUGCACUAUUUAAUGCUUUUAUUUUAUUUUCUUUAUUACAUUAGUUUAUUGCACUUUAUGUUUGUUUAGAGCUUUUUACGUUUAUAAGAACAGAAAUUUCAGCAGUUUCUGGAUUUAAUUUUUUUUCCCCCUUGUUUCAUUGUUUUCUAUUUAAUUGUAGUAUUAAUUUUUUUUUUAGCUCCUUAAAUGUUUUAUGGCUUUAUUUUCCACCCCCAUCUUUUUUUAGGUGAAAGUGUACCAGGUUCUGUUUAGUUGCAGUUUUAAAAUGAAAUUUUUGUGUAUUUUUGUUUGUUGAGUUGAGUUAAACUUUUGCAACCUUCAUGGUUUCUGGGUAAAAAAAAAAAAAAGAAAAGAAAAAAAAAGAGAAAAGUACCUUGAAAACUAACUAACUAAUGAAAUAGAUAAACACUCGAAAUAAAUGACUACUACUACUGCUACUACUACUACUACUAAUAAUAAUUCCAGUAGUUUAAAAAUAAAAUGUGGAUGUAUUCAGAAACACCAUGUAGUUUUCAUUACGUACAUUUUAGACACCAUUUCAUCAACAUCUCAUAAAAGAAGGCAGUGAUAAAAUAAGAACCCGUUGUUUUUCUUUUAAUGACCACAAAAACUAGAGCUUACUUUCAAACACUUUCAUUAUGUUCUCCACACAACUCAAAAAGAAAAAAAAGAAAGAAAAACGAACAAACUCCCAGGAAAAAGAAAAAGUAAAGAACAGAAUAAGAGAAAGAGAGUAAAAGAAGUGGGCAUGCUCGGGCAUGCGAUGGCCGACCGCAGGGUCGUGGUGCGUCCGUCUGGGCAGGAUGUAGGUUACAGAGGAGAUUUCAGCCACCGCAUGCUUCGCUUUCAUCUCCCAACAUCUCCCACACACACUCACACUCACACUCACACACACACAGCAUAUGGAGUGUGUACACCCGACCAUCCCGUCGUAACGUUUAUACCAGAUCAUGUGACCUGCACGAACCUGCAUUCAGUGCUGUUUUUAACACACUCUCGUCGACGUCCCGUUAACGUCUGGAAAUGUAUAGAAACAUUCAAAGCUUAUUUAAGAAACAUCGUUGAAGCCAUUUCUUUGGAAAUUUUGUAGCAUAUCUUUACUUGUAUAUUGUCAUAUCAGCUUGCUAAGCAGCUGAAAGGUUACAGUUCAACUGGCUGAGAUCAUUCACGUGGCCAUCUUCAUUGUCCCGGGUUUGUUGUAUCUCAUGGCUGUCAUAUUCAUUAAAUAUUAAGUAUUAAUACGGUAAAAAAAAUAUGUGUGUUUGAUAAACCUAGUUAUCAUGCAGUACCUCGAUUUUGUAAAUACUGCAUUAGGGCGGGGGAGGGGCGGUUGAGGAUGCCAUGAGGUACAUGUAAAAAGCUAGCUAAUAUAUCGCUUAUAUACUGUACAUAACUUGAUAUUUAACUAACGAGCUUUGUAGUUUGCUAGGUAUUACAAUGACUUAGCUAUCAAAAGGUACUUUUACUGAUCGUGAUUUAUUUAUUUAUUUUUAAAAUGUUAAACAGUAUUCGGUAAAGUAAUGUAACGUGGGUACCUGAAGCCGGAUAGGUACCUAGCCCGUCAUCAUUAAAAAAAAAAAAAAAAAAAAAUUGGCAAUUUUUGCUUCUUUUGAAAAAGAAGCCUUCCAAAUCAAGCCGCUUUUAGACUUCAGCAGUUUAUUACUCGCCACGCUGUACGAAAUUCCGAUAAAAUCUCAUCCGAAUUCUAUAACAAAACCGUGUGAUCCUCUAAAGAUAGACCUGUGUUUAGAAAAUUAAUUUCGUACGUCCUACUUACGUCGUCAUUCUGUGUGAUCCGAUAAUCAGC
ensembl:lncRNA